UACAGAGGUCUCAAGCGUUGUUCGGAUUCAUUGGGCGUAAAGGGUGUGUAGGUGGCGCCGUUAGUCGGGUGUGAAAUUUCGGAGCUUAACUCCGAAACUGCAUUCGAUACUGCGGUGCUUGAGGACUGGAGAGGAGACUGGAAUUCAUGGUGUAGCAGUGAAAUGCGUAGAGAUCAUGAGGAAGACCAGUGGCGAAGGCGGGUCUCUGGACAGUUCCUGACACUGAGGAGCGAAAGUGUGGGGAGCGAACAGG
rnacentral:rRNA from 1 species